UCUCAGGUGGCUACACAACGACAAUUUGUUGAUAAUCUGUGCCUCCUCACAAAUUUUUUUUAACUUCAUUCUGAUGAUUCUGUAGAGAUCUUCAUUAGUAGUCGCAACGAAAUUUUGCAUGAAAAUUAGACCUUCAGAGGGUGACACGUGGGACGAAAUGACAGUCAGCCAGAGUAAAUCAGACCUCCAGAGGGCCAAAUGUCGAAUGAAAUGACAUUCAGCCACUUUUUAGGUUAAUUUUCGUCAAGAGAACUAGACUCAGGGAUCUCAUUUUUGUUGGAUUGUAUGUAAAAGUUAUUUCCGGGUGAAAAAUGAACGUUGAUAUCUUUGUCAAUUCUCCUUUUAAUUUAAUUAAAAUCUCAAUUGUAAUUUUUGUUGACAAUUCAUCGUCGCCUGAAUCUCAACAGAAGGAUCGGACGGAUCCUGUCAAAAUGUCAAUUGGAGGAGAAUGAUGCUACAAUGACGCAGAAUAAAGCCCUGACUCAUCUGAUUUUCCACAUAAAAUCCGCUACUCUAACGGUCGGCAUUUCAAACUCAUGAAAAUAUCACAAUUCCCGAUACGGAUAUCUCAUCACAGCAUAACCCAAGAAAGAUGAUAAUCUCCGGAAGUCUCGACUCAUCAUUAUCAUCGAAUGAAACUUCCUAGUUUAUCCUCAUUGUCCAUCGUCUUCACCUCAACGAAUUCACCAUGAAUGACUCUACACCUAAUAUACCAUGAACUUCUCGGUGGAAUUUAUUCUCGACCACCAACAAUCGUCAUAAUCACCAAGAUAAUGGUAAUUGCAGUUAAUGCACUAGGUAGCAACGAUUAUGUAUCUCACCCUGGUGAAUUACACUGUCGCCUCAUUCAACGAUUUACCACCCAUAGGGCUGCCUGAUGAGACUUCAGGAUCAAACCCACCGUACAACGAAAAUACUCUCUGAUUAUUUAUUUUUCAUUAUCACUAAUCUCUAAUCAUUGGAAAUAUCUUAUCGUAAAUAAACCAACACUCCUGAUUCUUCA